GUGAGUGAAGAAGGGUUUCGGCUCGUAAAACUCUGUUGUUAAAGAAGAACAUAUCUGAGAGUAACUGUUCAGGUAUUGACGGUAUUUAACCAGAAAGCCACGGCUAACUACGUGCCAGCAGCCGCGGUAAUACGUAGGUGGCAAGCGUUGUCCGGAUUUAUUGGGCGUAAAGCGAGCGCAGGCGGUUUUUUAAGUCUGAUGUGAAAGCCUUCGGCUCAACCGAAGAAGUGCAUCGGAAACUGGGAAACUUGAGUGCAGAAGAGGACAGUGGAACUCCAUGUGUAGCGGUGAAAUGCGUAGAUAUAUGGAAGAACACCAGUGGCGAAGGCGGCUGUCUGGUCUGUAACUGACGCUGAGGCUCGAAAGUAUGGGUAGCAAACAGGAUUAGAUACCCUGGUAGUCCAUACCGUAAACGAUGAAUGCUAAGUGUUGGAGGGUUUCCGCCCUUCAGUGCUGCAGCUAACGCAUUAAGCAUUCCGCCUGGGGAGUACGGCCGCAAGGCUGAAACUCAAAGGAAUUGACGGGGGCCCGCACAAGCGGUGGAGCAUGUGGUUUAAUUCGAAGCUACGCGAAGAACCUUACCAGGUCUUGACAUACUAUGCAAAUCUAAGAGAUUAGACGUUCCCUUCGGGGACAUGGAUACAGGUGGUGCAUGGUUGUCGUCAGCUCGUGUCGUGAGAUGUUGGGUUAAGUCCCGCAACGAGCGCAACCCUUAUUAUCAGUUGCCAGCAUUAAGUUGGGCACUCUGGUGAGACUGCCGGUGACAAACCGGAGGAGGUGGGGGAUGAC
rnacentral:rRNA from 2 species